AAGAUAAAAGACGAAUAAUGGAGGUGGAACAGACAAGAAGGAAGGAGGGAAGAAGAACAGUGAGACGAAAACUGGCGGUGAAGCAGACGAGGAGGACGAGGGAGGUAAGGAAGACAGCGAGAAGAGGUGGAACAUGAAGAGAAAGGAAGAUAAAAGACGAAUAAUGGAGGUGGAACAGACGAGAAGGAAGAUGAAAGACUCAUAAUGGCGGUGGAACAGACGAAAUGGCUCCCACAGCGGCAAAGGUAAGCUCUCAACCAACCAGUUUCUGCCCAUCCUCCAAGGGGCCCCUGGCAGGGCUUGCACUGUGCUCAUAGCCAGAGUCACACUGAGCACCGGAUCAUCCAGAAACCUCAGCACCACUGCCAGACUCCAUACAGUGUGUGGCGUGAUGACAGGAGCAGGAACAAGAUCGUCAGGAGCAAGUGAAAGAAAGAGGUGGAAGAGGCCAAGGGAACAUACUAUCCCAACCCAACCAAGUCACCACCACAGCCCAGGAACCAGUCCACCAUCACCACUACACCUGUGUGGGUUCAGGUAUCCUCAUCACAGGUGUCAGAAUACAGGUGGAUAUGGACAAGGUCACAGGACAAGUGAUCCACACCCACUUGUCUUCUCACCUGUGCUGCACCUGUAUUCUGGCACCUUUAUGGUUGACUAUGAGAGUGGCAGCUGGAUUUGAGUCCAGUAGCAUUAUAGACUUUCUAAAUAUCACUGGCUUAUUUAUGCCUGCAAGGUGUUGGGCCAAAGAAUAUUAUAUUACCUUAAAAUUACUAUUCUUCAUGGUGCAGUGGUCAGCGUGUCCAGCUACAAAUCCACGGUUCAGGAUUUGAAUCUUGGCCCGGGCAGUCGGCGUGAAGCUCACCCAGCUGUUCAUCCUCCCUUUUGGGCUGGUUGAUAAAUGGGUACCUGAGGAAACCUGGGGAAAGGAAGCUGUAGUAGCCUGGAUGUCACAAUGGCCCGUGUCUCGGGGUAAUUGAUUCUUACCCACCACAGGCUCAAGGGCCAAAUUUUACCUUUACUUAAGUGUGACAUUACGGUUACCAUAGUUUACCUUCCCCAGGUACCCAUUUAUCGACCAGCCCAAAAGGGAGGAUGAACAGCUGGGUGAGCUGCAUGCCGACUGCCUGAGCCAAGACUCAAACCCAGACCUGUGAAUAUAUAGUUAGGCACGCUACCCACUGCACUGCAAAUUAAAGGUAAUGUAAUAUUCUUUAGCCUCGCACCUUGCAGGGACAAAUAAUUCAAUGAUAUUUGAGUAAGUAUUAACUACUGUUCCCAAAUCCAGCUGCCAUACCUGUAGAUAGUCACCCAUUAUGGUGUCAGAUUACAGGCGCUAAUGACUCGGGUGCAGCACAGAUGAGAAAACAAGUGUGGGGAUGAGCUGUCCAGUAACCACCUUCCCUUUCACCUGUACAGACAGUUCCCACCAUCACACCACCUUUGUUGUCUGACACUUGUGAAGAGGAUACCUGGUAAAAAAUGAAUGUAGAUAAACCAAAUGUAGAGUAUAAUAAACAAUCUGAUUCUCUUAGUUAUAUAAACUACUUAUCCCCAGCAACCACUUUCAAGGAAAUUAAUCCACUACAUAUGUAGAAUACAGACCUGUGCCUGUCUGUUCCUCCGGCCAGAGUAGAUGGAAAGGCAAUAGUUCUCCUUGGCCUCUGUGGAAAGGCUGUGAGGCAGAGUAUAGUGUGUAGUCUUCCAUUCAAGUACCGAGUCUUUAGUUGAAAGUAAUCAAGUAGUCUUUGAUUGGAAUAUAAAGACAUCAUUGCUCACUUUUUUUUCUUGCUCGACCAAGCCAUUGCCUGGAAAACCUGACAACUCUUCGGUCUCCUCUGCAUCUGUUUAUCAAGCCGGUGCAAAGGUAACUGAAAUCAAGCUUCCAAUGCUAAUGUGUUAACUCGGCAUGCUAUGACUGUAUCAGCUUUGUUUUUUAUGUAAAUGAACUUAGAACAUCUGUUGACAUGUAAUACCUCUGAAACAGUCCAUCAGGUGAGAGUAAUUUUGUUAGAUUCAAUUUUGGAACCCUGGCUGGAAGUUGACUUCGUGCUUAACGAAAACCACCUUCCCAUAGAGGUGAGUGUAAGGGAUUUACACUACUGUAAAGGCCCAAAAGUCUCAUCCCAGGCAGUCCCUCUUGGGCUGUGGACAGACUGCCGGCCCUGCGUCUCCUAGGCCUCAGGUUUGAUACCAGUAACAGGAACAGUGAUAUCUCCCUUACUCCCCCCCUCCCCCUGCAAGGCUAAAUUAACUUCUAAUGCAUGUCAGAAUGAGAAGAAAAUAAAACUUUACCUCAUCUUGUCGGUCCAUUACACCAGCAUCUCCCUGAAAGCGUCCCAAGUAAAGUAAACAACAAAACACGCUUCUCUCACCUGACAAACUGUUUCAGAGGUACUACAUGCCAACAAUUUAUUCUAAGUCAACUUUUUCCCCAAAUGAGGCUGACCUAGUCAAAAUUUACUUUUCAACAGUUUUAGUAUUGCUAUAAAGUGGCACAUGAAUGAAAAACUCCUGUAACACCAUAGCUCUGGCAUCACAACCCCCGAACAGGAACCCUUUACGAACAUCAGUAAAAGACAGUACAAAUGAGCUGGGGAGUUAAGUCUGUCUGAUAUAUAAAAUGAUGAAUGGGUAAAUUCACAGAACAGAACCACACGAUGCAGUUCCCAAACACUUCUUCAUCCAGGGACCUUUGGCACUACUGUUUGUCUCCCCUACAGCAGCAUCAUGCCUACAGAACACUUUCUCUCUCCCUCAGGUAACAGUCCAAGCCCAGUAAGGUAAGCAGCAAGACAACAGACUGACUUACUGUGAUGCAAGACCCAGAAAUUAACAUGAAUAAAUGCCAGAACCAUGAAAGGAUAUGUUCACAGAUUCAUAUGCUCCAUUCCAACUGAGGCUCACAUAAUAAAAAUAAUAAAAAAUGUGAAUAAAGAAAAAGGAAAAUGGAGUUGGUUUAAAUUAAAAUCUUGUCAAAAUAAACUGUUGAAUAUUAUUUACUGUGACUAUUUUUAUGCCUACAUCUCAACUACCAGCAACUCAUCCUCAACCCCUACAGUCUCCUCCUCAACCUCCCACACCUCCUUCUUAACAUCCCACACCUCCUCCUCAACCCCCCAUAAUCUCCUUUUAUAUAUGGACUCUUGCCUAUUAGUGAACAUACCCGAGCAAACACCAACUGGGCUGAGACUGUUAACCCUUUCCAUCCAUGACGCAGACGUUGGCAUCACAGUAUGGAAAGGGUCAAGAGGAAAUGGAAGAGGAUUAAUCCUCUUCUAAACCUCUCAAUCCUCCUCUACAUUCCUCUUCCAUAUCCUCUUAAGAGGUUUAGAAGAGGAUUAAGAUGGACGCCUGUCGGACGCUGACGUCAGUGUUGCCAAAGUGAAGGGGUUAAGCGGCAAGUCAACAGAUUACAGCUUGUGGAGUGGCAGGGAAGGCAGGAUUUAAGAAGUAACUGUUUGAACUAAGGCAGCACAGCAUAAUGGCAUUUGACAUUAUUUAAAGGCAGCAUUUUACGGUAGAACACAGCUUAGUCCUAUCAACACCUGCCUUCCAUGCCUCUUUCCACCUGAAGGAGACUACAGGCAAAUCACUACACCCCAUCUACACCUCCAUCUAUCCUUUUGCCUGUACCAACAACAUGAAAAAAACACCUCCACCUUUGGAACAAUUUCCUGAUGCAGUUACAGGUAAAGUUCAUAAUUUCCAACCACCUGUUUAUCAUAUUCUUAGGUUACUUAUAUUAUAUUAUACUGAAAAGUUCUUAUGAUUUCUUUCAAUCCUACUCUCUACGGAAACCUUUGAUAAUUCGCUUCUGACGAUAAGCUGUAGGCAUUAGGCAAGAAGUAAUUUAAUAAGUCAUCAAGUUAUCAUGCCUUAUCUCAUUAUUCAUAUUAAACCUUCACUCCUGCAAAAUAAAGGUGAAGGUGUCUUUCUUUAGCCUAUCAGUACCACCUCUGCUCCCCCUCUUCCUUCUACUUCUAC